rnacentral:rRNA from 1 species
GACGAACGCUGGCGGCGUGCUUAACACAUGCAAGUCGAGCGGAAAGGCUCCUUCGGGGGUACUCGAGCGGCGAACGGGUGAGUAACACGUGAGUAAUCUGCCCUGUGCUCUGGGAUAGCCACCGGAAACGGUGAUUAAUACCGGAUACAACCACUAUCCGCAUGGGUUGGUGGUGGAAAGUUUUUUCGGCACAGGAUGUGCUCGCGGCCUAUCAGCUUGUUGGUGAGGUAAUGGCUGACCAAGGCUUUGACGGGUAGCCGGCCUGAGAGGGUGACCGGUCACACUGGGACUGAGGCACGGCCCAGACUCCUACGGGAGGCAGCAGUGGGUAAUAUUGGACAAUGGGCGGAAGCCUGAUCCAGCAACGCCGCGUGAGGGAUGACGGCCUUCGGGUUGUAAACCUCUUUCAGUACCGACGAAGCGCAAGUGACGGUAGGUACAGAAGAAGGACCGGCCAACUACGUGCCAGCAGCCGCCGUAAUAC